rnacentral:lncRNA from 1 species
UUUUAGCAAGGAUAAUAAAUGUUUUAGAAAGCAUUCACAUAAUGGAGCAUGCUAGAAAUAAUACUAAAUAUCAUCUUUAUUUUAAUUAAAUUUUCUUUGAAAGACUAAUGCUAUUUUUUUAAUCAACAGGAACAAAAAUUUUGGUGGACAAGGAUGUGGGCUCUGAAAUCCUACAAUUGCGAGCAAUGGGGGAGCAAUUCCAUCAGCCACACAGCUCCUAAGUGUCACUUUUAGCAGAAGCAACUUGGAAAAGUCAGACAUGAAGAAUGUAGCCAAGACGUCCUGAGAGAGAAGUUCCAGGUCCUUAACAAGCAUAGUUCCCUUUAUAUCAGCAUAACUAAUAAACUCUGCUGUGUUUGAGAACGCUAAAGGAUGGAAUGAACCUUAACUGUGCCCAUGAAUUAGAGCAUUUUGUGGGAUGGCAAAUGAUGAUCAAAAGAUUUUUCAAAUAGCUUUCAUAAUUCCCUGUAUCCUGGCCACAUUUCCAUGUCUCUGUAAAGAGCUCAGGCUGUGAAACAAAGAAGGAAAAUUCCAAAAUUUAAGAAUUUCUGCUUACUUCAGCACUCAGCAUGGUGAGUACUUGAUGUGGCUGUGGGAAAUCCUUCAGAGAUUAAUUUACAAUAAACGGCAGAGCGUUCAGAGAUUUAGGAUUUUUCUAACAUUAUUGAAAC